CCAGACUCCUACGGGAGGCAGCAGUAGGGAAUAUUGCACAAUGGGGGGAACCCUGAUGCAGCGACGCCGCGUGGGUGAAGGAGCACCUCGGUGCGUAAAGCCCUAUCGGCAGGGAAGAAAAGCGAACAGGUUCGCCUGGACGGUACCUGACUAAGAAGCCCCGGCUAACUACGUGCCAGCAGCCGCGGUAAUACGUAGGGGGCAAGCGUUAUCCGGAUUUACUGGGUGUAAAGGGGGCGCAGACGGCGAUGCAAGCCAGGAGUGAAAGCCCGGGGCCCAACCCCGGGACUGCUCUUGGAACUGCGUGGCUGGAGUACGGGAGGGGCAGGCGGAAUUCCUGGCGUAGCGGUGAAAUGCGUAGAUAUCAGGAGGAACACCGGCGGCGAAGGCGGCCUGCUGGACCGUGACUGACGUUGAGGCUCGAGAGCGUGGGGAGCAAACAGGAUUAGAUACCCCAGUAUC
rnacentral:rRNA from 1 species